rnacentral:piRNA from 1 species
GACGGCUCGGGCGGAAUGUAAAAUUC